UACGUAGGGGGCAAGCGUUGUCCGGAAUCAUUGGGCGUAAAGAGCGCGUAGGCGGCCAGAUAAGUCCGGUGUGAAAGUCAAAGGCUCAACCUUUGAAUGCCGCUGGAAACUGUCUGGCUAGAGUCCGGAAGGGGCGAGUGGAAUUCCUGGUGUAGCGGUGAAAUGCGCAGAUAUCAGGAGGAACACCAAUGGCGAAGGCAGCUCGCUGGAACGGUACUGACGCUGAGGCGCGAAAGCGUGGGGAGCGAACAGG
rnacentral:rRNA from 1 species